GUAGAGAAAUAAGAAUGGACAUCUGAUAAAAUUGGAACGAUAUUGAUUAACAUGAUUCCUGUGCAAGGAUGACACACAAAUCAAGAAAUUGUCCCCUUUCUC